rnacentral:rRNA from 1 species
UACGGAGGGGGCUAGCGUUGUUCGGAAUUACUGGGCGUAAAGCGCACGUAGGCGGCUUUGUAAGUUAGAGGUGAAAGCCCGGGGCUCAACUCCGGAAUUGCCUUUAAGACUGCAUCGCUAGAAUUGUGGAGAGGUAAGUGGAAUUCCGAGUGUAGAGGUGAAAUUCGUAGAUAUUCGGAAGAACACCAGUGGCGAAGGCGGCGACCUGGGUAGAUACUGACGCUGAGGUGCGAAAGCGUGGGGAGCAAACAGG